AAAAAUUCUUAUUGAAGUUUUGGCGAUAUAUAACCCCUAGAAUUAAAAAAUAAUAAUUUUCUGGGGAAUCCUCUCACUGUCGAAUGACGAGAUAAAAUGCAAAUUUCCCGCUUUGGGCGCAUGCGCAAGAAUCUAGGUUAGUAGAACGUAAACAUAUAUCGGCAGAAACAUGGCUUCCGAAGCCAAGAGAUGUCGGCCUAGAAUUGAAACGAGUUCGGCAACAAAGCGACGUAAACAGAAAUGGUCACAGGACAACCCGGUUAUAUGACUGGGGAAACAACACACUAGUUGGAAGACAUUCAAUGAAGAAAAUAGUUUCUCUACAAACGAGCAUGCAGCACGGAUUCUUCUGGAUAAGUGUGCACUUCAGUGACACAAAAAGUUCAUGCAGGUGAAGACAUCCCCACACCAGCUGGAACUUCUAUGGGACCGCCAUCACAUGUGUGCACCCCUACACCAGUAACAUCUACGCCUACACACGCCCAUAAAGAACCUAUAGCUAUAGAUAGACCUCCGAUGUCUCAGAUAUAGAAGCUCAGUCAUCACACUCGUCUGAUUUAUCUUGUGUGGAAGCAUUACAAUCAGACUCCGAGAGUAACAUUAAUGCCAGCUUGCUUUCCCAUUACCAACAGAAGGCUAAAGAGGAUGACACCUCAUUUAUUGAUAUACCUCAGACACAUCAACCUGAACACUUGCCAAUGGCUGAAGAUCCCAUAGAAAUGGAAGAGGUUGAUGUUGAUGAUGAGCUUACAGAGGAUGAAGGAGACAUUGUGGAAACAGACACUCAAAAGGAUAGUGUUGAAGAAAGGAAAUCAAUAUGCUUCCAAAGUGCCUUGUUGUAACUCACGUCAGUUCAAAUACCCACAACUUGUCAAAGAAAAGCAUGUGGUGCAAAUAUCAUUGUCCAGUGCAGAUAUGUUGAAAUGAAUUGGAGGGAGCAGCAUUUGGUACUAGUCCUGGAUCCUCUGGAUCUUGUGGAUCCUCUGGUUCACCUGCAUUUUCGCAAAGGUCAAAAACUAGGCCUGGCUGACGAUACACUAGCUGAAGAACUAAAUUUAUCAGUGGCUUUAGGUCCAUCCUUCUGAUUAUAUCCUAAUACAUAAAACAAUAAUUAUAGA